UGGUGGAGUGAUUUGUCUGGUUAAUUCCGUUAACGAACGAGACCUCGACCUGCUAAAUAGCUCAUGAUAAUCCUCCGGGAUUGUCUGAAUUCGCUUCUUAGAGGGACUUUGGGUUGGUAGCCUAAGGAAGUUCGAGGCAAUAACA
rnacentral:rRNA from 1 species